rnacentral:rRNA from 2 species
UGGCUCAGGACGAACGCUGGCGGCGUGCCUAAUACAUGCAAGUCGAACGCACUGACGUCGACCGAAGCUGCUUGCAGUGGACGUUGAUUGACGUGAGUGGCGGACGGGUGAGUAACACGUGGGUAACCUACCCUUAAGUGGGGGAUAACAUUUGGAAACAGAUGCUAAUACCGCAUAACCAUUCAGACCRCAUGGUCUGAAUGUAAAAGACGGCCUUUGGCUGUCACUUUUGGACGGACCCGCGGCGUAUUAGUUAGUUGGUAAGGUAACGGCUUACCAAGACAAUGAUACGUAGCCGACCUGAGAGGGUAAUCGGCCACAUUGGGACUGAGACACGGCCCAAACUCCUACGGGAGGCAGCAGUAGGGAAUCUUCCACAAUGGACGAAAGUCUGAUGGAGCAACGCCGCGUGAGUGAAGAAGGUUUUAGGAUCGUAAAACUCUGUUGUUGGAGAAGAACAGGGACUAGAGUAACUGUUAGUCCUUUGACGGUAUCCAACCAGAAAGCCACGGCUAACUACGUGCCAGCAGCCGCGGUAAUACGUAGGUGGCAAGCGUUGUCCGGAUUUAUUGGGCGUAAAGCGAGCGCAGGCGGUUUUUUAAGUCUGAUGUGAAAGCCUUCGGCUUAACCGAAGAAGUGCAUUAGAAACUGGRAAACUUGAGUGCAGAAGAGGACAGUGGAACUCCAUGUGUAGCGGUGAAAUGCGUAGAUAUAUGGAAGAACACCAGUGGCGAAGGCGGCUGUCUGGUCUGUAACUGACGCUGAGGCUCGAAAGUAUGGGGAGCGAACAGGAUUAGAUACCCUGGUAGUCCAUACCGUAAACGAUGAAUGCUAAGUGUUGGAGGGUUUCCGCCCUUCAGUGCUGCAGCUAACGCAUUAAGCAUUCCGCCUGGGGAGUACGACCGCAAGGUUGAAACUCAAAGGAAUUGACGGGGGCCCGCACAAGCGGUGGAGCAUGUGGUUUAAUUCGAAGCAACGCGAAGAACCUUACCAGGUCUUGACAUCCUUUGACCACUGUAGAGAUACAGCUUUCCCUUCGGGGACAAAGUGACAGGUGGUGCAUGGUUGUCGUCAGCUCGUGUCGUGAGAUGUUGGGUUAAGUCCCGCAACGAGCGCAACCCUUAUGACUAGUUGCCAGCAUUUAGUUGGGCACUCUAGUAAGACUGCCGGUGACAAACCGGAGGAAGGUGGGGAUGACGUCAAAUCAGCAUGCCCCUUAUGACCUGGGCUACACACGUGCUACAAUGGUCGGUACAACGAGUUGCGAACCCGCGAGGGUAAGCUAAUCUCUUAAAGCCGAUCUCAGUUCGGAUUGUAGGCUGCAACUCGCCUACAUGAAGCCGGAAUCGCUAGUAAUCGCGGAUCAGCACGCCGCGGUGAAUACGUUCCCGGGCCUUGUACACACCGCCCGUCACACCAUGAGAGUUUGUAACACCCGAAGUCGGUGGGGUAACCCUUUUAGGGAACUAGCCGCCUAAGGUGGGACAGAUGAUUGGGGUGAAGUCGU